GACGAACGCUGGCGGCGUGCUUAACACAUGCAAGUCGAACGAUGAAGCCGGAGCUUGCUCUGGUGAAUUAGUGGCGAACGGGUGAGUAACACGUGAGUAACCUGCCCUUGACUCUGGGAUAACUGCGGGAAACUGUAGCUAAUACCGGAUACGACCCUCGGCGGCAUCGCCAGGGGGUGGAAAGAAUUUCGGUCAAGGAUGGACUCGCGGCCUAUCAGCUAGUUGGUGAGGUAACGGCUCACCAAGGCGACGACGGGUAGCCGGCCUGAGAGGGUGACCGGCCACACUGGGACUGGGACACGGCCCAGACUCCUACGGGAGGCAGCAGGGGGGAAUAUUGCACAAUGGGCGCAAGCCUGAUGCAGCAACGCCGCGUGAGGGAUGACGGCCUUCGGGUUGUAAACCUCUUUUAGUAGGGAAGAAGCGAAAGUGACGGUACCUGCAGAAGAAGCACCGGCUAACUACGUGCCAGCCGCCGCGGUAA
rnacentral:rRNA from 1 species